rnacentral:rRNA from 1 species
UACGUAGGGGGCUAGCGUUGUCCGGAAUCAUUGGGCGUAAAGCGCGUGUAGGCGGCCCGAUAAGUCCGCUGUGAAAGUCCAGGGCUCAACCCUGGGAUGCCGGUGGAUACUGUCGGGCUCGAGUCCGGAAGAGGCGAGUGGAACUCCUGGUGUAGCGGUGGAAUGCGCAGAUAUCAGGAAGAACACCGAUGGCGAAGGCAGUUCUCUGGGCCGUAACUGACGCUGAGGAGCGAAAGCGUGGGGAGCGAACAGG